rnacentral:rRNA from 1 species
UACGUAGGGGGCAAGCGUUGUCCGGAAUCAUUGGGCGUAAAGAGCUCGUAGGCGGCUUGUCGCGUCGACUGUGAAAACCCACGGCUUAACUGUGGGCUUGCAGUCGAUACGGGCAGGCUAGAGUUCGGUAGGGGAGACUGGAAUUCCUGGUGUAGCGGUGAAAUGCGCAGAUAUCAGGAGGAACACCGGUGGCGAAGGCGGGUCUCUGGGCCGAUACUGACGCUGAGGAGCGAAAGCGUGGGGAGCGAACAGG